rnacentral:lncRNA from 1 species
ACAGACCUUUGUAAGUGCCUCAAACUAAACUUCACUUAACAGAAAACUUCCGAGCAGAGUUUGGUACAGAAACGAUGACUAUUCAGCUAGCAACGACCAAAGCCGGCAACAAUUCCGGAGCCAAAAAUGCUAACCGGUCUUCGACUAACAGAAGCGCAGCGGCUCCGGGACCUCGAAUGCGACCUCCAAAUCGCAAUAGUGUUUUGUGGGUUGAGAUGAAGUUAUUUUGCUGCGUUUGUUUCAGCUGAGUAUUGCAGUAGUUUCAGGUGUUUUAGAGAAGGUUUGUGGGUGCUAAAACACCUGAAACUAAGGUGAAGAAGAAGGAAUUUUGGGGGCUUCUGCCGGCAAAUUUUAAGACCUCUAGCUCUAAGGUUUCUUUGCCUUCUUCCCUCUGUUUUUCCAGUCUUUUUUCCCUUUUCCGUUCUCUGUUUUUUUCUUUUCUUUUUCGUGUGUGCGUGUGUUGAGGAAGAAGAGAAGGCUCCUAGGGUUCUUUGGGUGUGAGGGGAAUUUUGUUCUUGAGAGAGUGAAAGAGGAGGAAGAGGAGGAGGAGGCUAGGGUUUUGUC